rnacentral:misc_RNA from 1 species
GACAAUCGUUUCCACCAUGGAGGUAAUACACUAGAUCUUAUGUAAGUGUGAAGUAGGCUUGACUUAGAUGCACCAUUAUCCAUACAAUUUUUUCUGACUGCUCAAUCUUUUAAUUGGUUCACUGUAAAAGCUUGAUUUGAAAGACAGUAAGGGAAAAAACCUCUAAACAUUACAAUGUUUGUUAUCAGGUGAGUCCAGAUGGUAAGCAA